rnacentral:rRNA from 1 species
AUUGAACGCUGGCGGCAGGCCUAACACAUGCAAGUCGAACGAGUUGCGGACGGGUGAGUAAUGUCUGGGAAACUGCCCGCUGGAGGGGGAUAACUACUGGAAACGGUAGCUAAUACCGCAUACCAUCGGAUGUGCCCAGAUGGGAUUAGCUAGUAGGUGGGGUAACGGCUCACCUAGGCGACGAUCCCUAGCUGGUCUGAGAGGAUGACAAGCCACACUGGAACUGAGAAACGGUCCAGACUCCUACGUGAGGCAGCGGUGGGGAAUAUUGCACAAUGGGCGCAAGCCGGAUGCAGCCAUGCCGCGUAUAUGAAGAAGGCCUUCGGGUGGUAAAAUACUUUAAGUGAGGAGGCGUUACUCGAAGAAGAAGCACCGGCUAAAUCCGUGCCAGCAGCCGCGGUAAUUC